UAUAUAAAGGAAUGCACAAAGACUUCCAUGUGGCAAGCUUAAUUGUUAUUUUUUCCUAAUCUCUCUACUCUUAAUUUUUCUGAUUUAUUCCUAAUCUUUCUAAUUUAUUUAAAUUUUUAUUAGUCAAUUAUUUUUUAAAUUUUAAUUAAUAUUAUUUAAACUCAUUGAUUGGUUUUGAUGGGUGUUAAUGGGUUUAAAUUUUUAUUAAUAUUGUACUGUAUUUUUUCAUCUCCACCAUCGUUUGCCUUUUAAUCUUCUCUCUUCACCUACCUAUUGUUCUCUUAUAUUUUGCCAAAGGUGCUCAUCUCUUUUCCCAUCCAUUUCACUACAGUCAUAAAGUAAAGAUCACAGCACAUGAAGAGUGAGUUUUUUCUUUGAAAAUGGAUGAUCGAGAAGGUCAAAUAUUUUUCAUUGGGAACAAUGAGAGAAUGGUUAGUAAUUUGAGAAGAUGGAAAACUUGCUGCUAGAGUAAUGUGAUGUGUGGUUAUUCAAGAUGAUGAUGUGCUGCCACUGAAAAAAGAUUUUUUUUAAUAAGAGAGCCUUGUAUUAUCUUUGGGUAAUUUAAAUAUUUAAUUGGUGUGGUCAGUGUUCUAAUAAUCUUAAUUAUUUUUUCUUUUGUUAUGGUUUGGUGCUUUGAACUUAAAACUUUUGGAUUGUUUGGUUAGUGAGAAAGUGAUUUCUUGAUGAUCUUUAAUUUUUUAUUUUUAUUUUUUUAAAUCAGAUCUUCUGAUGAUUUCAGUCA